rnacentral:lncRNA from 1 species
GGGUCCAUAUGGUUGUAAAGGUAUAAGGGCACAGGGUCAAUCCAAUGGUUGAUGUGCAGCCAAGUGUCAAUAGAUUAAGUUGAUAAGUUUGUUAUGAGUUUGCUUAAUCUGUAAGGAAAGUUAAAGAGUAUAUAAAGAGAUAGUUUGUAAGCAAUUGAAGUGUGAAAAAAAUGAAAUAUACAGAGUUGUUUUCUCAGUUUCUCUCUAAAACUUCUGUGAUCCCUUUCUCUCUCUUAAGUGCGAAACCUCCAUUGUUAAAGCUUCAAGCUUCUCUUUUAACAUGGUAUCCUCGCCGGGAACGGAUGGCAUUUCUCGAUCCUGAUCAAGUGUUGCUUCCGCUAUCUUCAAUCUUCUCUUCUCAACUACUUCACUGAAUCUGUGGUGUGAAAUGUUCUUUCUUCAAUCCUCUCUGAUAUGGCGAAUUAUAGUCUACAAGUCGGUUGUGUUUCUUGCACAUGAACUGUUUGAUGAUAUGUGUGAGUGAUUUUCUCUCUCUGAAUCUGCGAGUUUCUUCUUCUACAAUCUUGGAUAUUAGUUCUGAAAAGUGUAGUGCGUAUAAUCGCAAACACUAACUUCUCAAUUUCUUCAAGAUUUCUCCUGUUUCUAUAAGAAUUUCAAAAGUAUGGUGACUGUUGCACAACUCCAUAUAGUUUAGUCUCCAAUUAUGCACUUGAUUCCUAAUGUGUCGGUCUCUGUGACGGUCAAAUUAGAUGAUACGAAUUACUUAGUCUGGCAUUAUCAAAUGAGAUUGCUUCUUGAAGGUCAUGGCAUUCUUGGUUUUGUGGAUGGAACACGGUGAUGUCCACCUCGCUUUGUUGCUGAUUUAGAUGUUGAAGGUGUUGAAACUGAAACGUACCAAAUCUGGAAAAUGCAUGACAGAGCUCUUAUGCAACUUCUGAUUGCUACUCUCUCUACUACUGCCCUAUCCUGGAUCAUUGGUUGUACCAAUUCCAAUGACAUUUGGACCAAUCUCAAGGACAUAUUUUCAACAAUUACAAAAGCCAGUAUUUUUCAGAUGAAGACUGAGUUGCAUAAUAUCAAGAAAGGGUCUGAGAACAUUUCUCAGUACUUGCAGAGAAUUAAAGAUGCUCGAGAUCAUCUCUCAGCUGCUGGAAUUUCCUUUGACGAUGAUGAUAUUAUCAUUCUGGCCUUAAAGGGGCUACCUCCUGAGUAUAACACAUUUCGCACAGUAAUAAGGGGUAGGGAGAGUGUUAUAUCUCUUAAGGAUUUUCGAGCACGAUUACUUGAUGAAGAAACAACUGUUGAGCAUGCUCCAGUUUCUGAAUCUUUCUCUACUGCUAUGUUAGCACAAGAACCUAUGUCCAAAGGGAAAGCGUUGAUGCUUGGUGAAGGGUCUUCUCAUUCUACAAAUUCUCAGUAUCAUCCUGGAAGUUCUUCUGGGGGUUAUUAUAAUACGGGUACCUAUAACAACAAUUUUGGAGGAUCUUAUAACACCAAUUCUGGAAGUUAUAGAGGACCAAAUUUCAGAGGAAGAGCAAGAGGCAGAAACCACUUUGGUAAUAAUUCUAGGUUCUUGGGUAACAGUCCUGGCAUACUUGGUCCUGUGAGACCACAUGUUUCCACUUGUCCUGAGCAUAGCAAUGACAUACCUGUGUGUCAAAUAUGCAACAAAAGAGGUCAUAUUGCUGUUGAUUGCUUCCAGAGACAUAGAGGUCAUAUUGCUGCUGAUUGCUUCCAGAGACAUUCUUCUACCACUGUUUCAUCAUCUCCAGUGCAAUGCCAAAUUUGUUGGAAAUUUGGUCAUUCUGCAAUGCAAUGUUACCACAGAGCUAAUUUUUCAUACCAAGGAAGAUCUCCACCAUCCUCCAUUACUGCAAUGCACACUAACUAUCAACCAUCUGCCCCUCAAGAGCAAUUCUGGGUAGCUGAUACUGGUGCUACAUCCCACUUGACGUCUAACUUGUCCAAUCUUACUCUUGCCACUCCAUUAACUGGCACUGAUACUAUUACCACUGCAAGUGGUGCAGGUUUGCCCAUAUCUCACACUGGUUCUUCUGUUUUGCAUGCUCCAAAACAUGCUUUUCAACUAAAGAAAAUACUGCAUGUGCCAAAAUUAUCUCAACAUUUGUUGUCUAUCUAUAGACUCUGUAAAGAUAACAAAUGUAGGUUCAUAUAUGAUGAGUUCUCUUUCUGGAUUCAGGACAAGAUCACAGGGAAAGUUCUUCUUCAUAGACUGUGUAAAGCUGGCCUAUAUCCAAUUCCAUUAUACAUACCACAAUUCAUUUUCAAUCAAGCAUUAAAGACACCUCACUCACACAAACAGCAGCAUUAUUACCUUGGUCAUCAAGUGAACACAAAUUUGUGGCACGCCAGAUUAGGCCAUCUAUCUAAUUCUGUUGUUUCUCAAAUGUUGCAUCAAUCUCAAGUUCUUUUUUCUGUGGAUCACUCUAAACAUGUGUGUAUAUCUUGUUUGCCAGGAAAAUUUACUAAACUUCCUUUUUCAUAUCCUGCAAAUAAAACUGUAAAACCCUUAGAAGUCAUACAUAGUGAUGUAUGAGGACCAUCACCUACUUUGUCCAUUGAGGUUUUCAAAUUCUAUGUACUUUUCAUAUAUGAAUGUACCAGGUUUACCUGGAUAUUUCCUUUAAUGAAUAAAAGUGAGGUGUUUCAUACUUUUGUGCAGUUUCAUUCUUUUAUACAAACUCAAUUUUCCACUGCCAUUAAAAUUUUCCAGAGUGAUGGUGGUGGUGAAUACACCAGUAACAAGUUCAAACAAUUUUUGUUAACAAAAGGCAUUUUGCAUCACAAGUCUUGUCCACACACACCUGAGCAAAAUGGUCUUGCUGAACGAAAGCAUCAGCUUAUUGUUGAAACUGCACUUACUCUUCUUCAAAAAGCUCAUUUGCCUUUACAAUUUUGGUUCCAUGCUUGUGUAGUUUCUGUCUACUUAAUAAACAGAAUGCCAUGUCAAGUUUUAACCAUGAAGUCUCCAUACACUUGUCUGUUUCAAAAACCCCCAGUGUUAACACAUUUAAAGGUUUUUGGAUGUAGGUAGUUGUUUUCCUCUCUUGAAACCCUACAACACUUCAAAAUUCCAACCCAAGACUGCACAGUGCAUAUUUAUGGGAUAUGCUGGUCAAUAUAAAAGGUAUAUUUGUUUUAAUCCCAUUACUAGCGAGUUUCAUGUGUCAAGACAUGUUCUCUUUGAUAAGCAUACUUAUCCUUAUUUGGAUCUCAUCUCUAAGUCUCAGGUUACAUAGUCACUUAGAAUGCCUUCUUCAAUUGUACCACCAUCAGUUACACUUCACAAUGUUAUUGAAUCACACACAUCAUCAUCAUCUCAACCAUCAUCUACAUCAGUGCAUUUAACCCCUAGAGCUUCAGAGUUUUCUUCUAUAAACCCUAGUGCUUCAGAGUCUUUGGCAUCUCCCACUAUAGCUCCAGAGUUCUUGACUUCUUCCACCAACCCUAUACAGUCACAAUCAUCAUUGUCAGCCCCUCUUGCACCUACACAGUCUCCAAUCCCUGUGGAUUCUAAUUUCCAGCAAGAAAGUCUAAGUGUGGUUCUGCCAGUACCUUCUGUGAGCUUGCACCCAAUGUAAACAAGAUCCAAAAGUGGGAUUUCUAAGAAAAAAGCUUUCUCAGCUUCUGUUCCAUCAUCAAUUGUGCCUGUUAUGGAACCUGUUUCUUUCAAGUCAGCUAGUCAAGUCCCAGAAUGGCAGGCUGCCAUGCAAGAUGAGAUAAAUGCUUUGAAUGCUCAGAAUACCUGGACUCUUAUUCCUCUUCCUAUUGGCAAAAACUUAGUUGGAUGCAAAUGGGUGUACAAGCUUAAAAGGAAUCCAGAUGCAUUUAUAGCAAGGUAUAAAGCUCGUCUUGUAGCUAAAAAGUAUAGUCAAGAGGAAGGCAUCGAUUAUACUGAAACUUUCAGUCCAGUGGUUAAGCCUACUACUGUCAGAUUAAUCUUAGCACUUGCAGCUCAGUUUAACUGGAGUUUAAGACAGUUGGAUGUUCAACAACAACAACAACAACAAAGCCUUUUCCCACUAAGUGGGGUCGGCUAUCAGUUGGAUGUUCGAAAUGCAUUUUUACAUGGAGAUCUUCUUGAUGAGGUCUAUAUGAGUCAACCUCCUAGUUUUGUAUGUUCUUCUCAUCCUUCUAAUUAUGUUUGUAAACUACAUAAGUCCUUAUAUGGUUUUAAACAGGCUCUUCGGGCAUGGAAUGAGAAGUUUACAAGCUUCUUACCUAGUUUAGGCUUCAAAGCCUCUUUUGCCGAUCCAUCUUUGUUUGUCUAGCAAACAUCCAAUGGUAUUGUGAUUCUCUUACUCUAUGUGGAUGAUAUCAUCCUCACUGGCAGCAAUACAUCUCUUAUGUCUAAAGUCAUUUUAGCUCUGACACAAGAGUUUGAUAUGAAGAACUUGGGAAAUUUACAUUACUUCUUAGGUUUGCAGAUCACUUACAAGAACACAGGCUUGUUUAUCUCUCAGACCAUAUAUAUUCACGAUCUUCUCACCAAGGUUGAUAUGCAAGAUGCAAAAUCGUGUGCCACACCCUACCUUCCUUAUCACAGGUUAUCUAAGACAGAUGGUUCACCUUAUCAUAGUCCAAAACACUAUCGCAUUAUUGUUGGUGCAUUGCAAUGUUUGACCUUCACUAGGCCAGAUAUUGCAUUUGCCGUUAACCAAUGUUGUCAAUUUAUGCACAACCCUCUGGAUAUUCAUGUUGUUGCGAUGAAACGAAUUUUGAGGUAUCUCAGUGGCACUCUUGACUAUGGCAUUCAUUUUACUCCUGGAAAAUUACAACUUCAAGCCUAUAGCGAUGCAGAUUGGGCAGGGGAUCUCAAUGAUCGUCGAUCCACCUCUGGCUAUGUUGUUUAUCUUGGUAAUACACCUAUUUCUUGGGCCUCCAAGAAACAACAUAUUGUGUCUAGGUCCUCUACUGAGGCAGAAUAUCGAGCACUUGCCAUCACUGCAGCAAAAGUCUCUUGGAUACAACAGCUUCUGCAUGAUCUUCAUGUUCCUUUAUAUGAUGCUUCUAUGCUAUUUUGUGACAAUAUUUCUGCUAUUGCACUAUCCUCUAAUCCAGUUUUUCAUUCAAGGGUGAAGCAUAUUGAAAUCGACUACCACUUUAUCCGGGAGAGAGUUAUCAAAGGUGACUUGGCUGUAUCCAAGGAGCAGUUUGUAGACAUUUUAACUAAAGGGUUGUCUACUUCUCUAUUUCAAGAUCAUUGUUCCAAUCUCAUGCUUAGUUCUAGUAAGCAUGAGAUUGAGGGGGAUGUAAAGGUAUAAAGGCACAGGGUCAACCCAAUGGUUGAUAUGCAGCCAAGUGUCAAUAGAUUAAGUUGAUAAGUUUGUUAUGAGUUUGCUUAAUCUGUAAGGAAAGUGAAGAGUAUAUAAAGAGAUAGUUUGUAAGCAAUUGAAAUGUGAAAAAAAAAAAUGAAAUAUACAUAGUUGUUUUCUCAGUUUCUCUCUAAAACUUAUGUAAUCCCUUUCUCUCUCUAAGUGUGAACUUCCAUUGUUAAAGCUUCAAGCUUCUCUUUUAACAAUGGUUUGGCCCAUUUCUCAAUUUUCCGAGAUAUUUUUGGGAUCAAUGUAACUCUAGUUACAAGGAAAGCAUACAUGUGUAGUCUGAUUUGUUCUGAUUUGUUCUGUACUUUUAUUUUAAUAUUUGAUGUUGUUGCAGCUUCCAGUCCCAAUCCCCAAAAUAAUUCAUUUAGAGAGACCAAAAAUAAAAGCCAUCAUGUAUUACAGAUGAACUUGUAGCCAAUGCUGCCUACAUUGCUCCCCCUGGGAAGGGAAUCCUUACUGCAGACGAGUCAACGGGCACAAUUGGCAAGCGUCUGUCAAGUAUAAAUGUCGAGAAUAAUGAAAACAACAGGCGAGCCCUCCGUGAGCUCCUCUUUUGUGCCCCGGUGCACUCCAGUAUCUCAGCGGUGUGAUCCUUUUUAGGAAACCCUUUACCAGAAAACAGCCGGCGGUAAACCCUUUGUUGAUCUCCUCAAAGACGCGGGGGUCCUUCCUGGAAUUAAAGUUGACAAGGGUACUGUUGAGCUUGCUGGAACUAAUGGUGAGACCACAACUCAGGGUCUUGACGGUCUUGCCCAGCGCUGCCAGCAGUACUAUGAAGCUGGUUCCCGAUAUGCAAAGUGGCGUGCUGUACUCAAUAUUGGCCCAAACGAGCCAACCCAGCUUGCUAUAAAUGAGAAUGCCAAUGGCUUGGCACGCUAUGCUGUCAUUUGCCAGGAGAAUGACUUGGUACCAAUUGUUGAGCCAGAGAUAUUAGUUGACAGAUCUCAUGACAUUGAGCGAUGCACAGACAGAUGUGACUGAGCGUGCCCUUGCAGCGUGCUAUAAAGCACUGAACGACCACCAUGUCCUUCUCGAGGGGACUCUUUUGAAGCCAAACAUGGUUACCCCUGGUUCAGAUGGCAAGAAGGUUUCGCCUGUGGUGGUGGCUAAUCAUACAGUAAGGGCAUUGCAGCGAACAAUGCCUCCAGCUAUUCCUGCUGUGGUGUUUCUUUCGGGUGGGCAGAGUGAGGAGGAAGCUACCCUCCAUUUGAAUGCUAUGAACAAGCUCAAUACCAAGAAACCCUGGUCACUUUCAUUCUCUUUUGGGCGGGCUCUGCAGCAGAGUACCCUAAAGGCGUGGGCUUGCUAGGUGCAAAGCGAAUUUAGAAGUAACUUUGGGUACCUACAAAGGGGAUACUGCAUUGGGAGAUGGUGCUUCAGAGAGCCUUCACGUGAAGGACUCACAAGUACUGAGAUUUUGCAGGUCAAUUUCUAUUUCCUCAUGUAUUGCUGUUAGGAAGUUAUUAGAGAGAUGAGUGUUUCAUUUUUUGUUCUUUUGGAACGUAACUGAUUAAAAUUGGGUGGCAUGUAUCGUCACGACUUGAUCAUUGCCUUGUAGCUUUUUUUACUAAGGUCAUAUUUUUCACUUCCUGGAUUUUGAGUAUAAUUAUUCGUUUCUGUCAUUGCCUGUCAUGUUCCUUUUCACAACAAAGAGUUGGCCAUAAAACAUAAUCAGGUAUAAGGAAUUAUGCUGGUUUGAGUACUGCUGCAAUAACAGUGGAUUGAUUAGGUUCAAGUUAAAGCAGAUUGUACCAUACAGUAAAUCAUGAAGGAUGUAAUACUUGUACCUCAACUUAUAGUUCCUUUACAGAAGAAGUAGCUAGUGGAAGUGGGAAUUGAAUAGCCUUCCUUGUACACAUAUAUCAUGUAUUUCGUUGAACGAAUGUAUCAUGUAUUUCCUUAACAGUUUGCCUAGUGAAGAUUCACUCCUACAUCCGGUUGUUUCAAAUACAAUCGAUUUAAUGAUUUCUAGUUUAUGUGGCAAACUUUUCACAUCCAAAUCCUUUCAUUCAAAUUUCUCCAUCCAAAUGGAGCCUACGAAUCUUUACUGGACAGACAGAUGAAGAGAAAUGGGAACAACUACCAAAAUUUGCUUUUGAUUUCUUUUUUACAGCUACACAGUAAAAAAGGUCGUACCCAAUGCACAAGACUCCCGCUUUAUGCAGGGUCUGGGAGAGGUGAAUGUCGGCUAGCCUUACCCCCAUUUGAAUGUCGGCUACACAGUAAAGGAAAAAAAAAAAAGACCAAUACAUAGGGACUUAACUUUCUUGCUUCAGUGAUCCAAAGCCAUCACUACUACUAGAGUAAGCAAAGAGAAGAGGAUGGAUCCACCCUUUGAAAUCACUUUAUUUUCUGCAAAUUAAAAUCGUUAGAAACACCACAGUAAUUAUAAUAGUUUUUAAAUGGUUGAUAAAUCUAAUUAAUAUAUAUCUUCAAUUCACACUUUAUGAAGCUAGGCACUUACUGCACUCUUUUGGGUGGCAUACGCACCUCAACCCAGCACCACAAUUUCCAUUAGGCUUUUGACACUCGUCGCAGAUAUUAGGAACGUGGUCAGGGAUGUCGAAAGACAUCCUUGUCUUCAACCCAUAUCCUUCAUUGUUUCCAUGUGAAGGUGUUUCAUACACCCUGCUGUAACAUGAGCAAUUCAGAUCUCUUGGAUGAAAACCCAUGUCUAGCUUUGUCCGAUCAUGAAAUAGUAUGCAAGAGGACAAUGUAAGCCCAUCAAGUUUGGGUUCUUGAAUCUUUGAAGAAGCUCCAGAUGCAGGCAGGCAGGUGACAUUUUGAAAAUGUAUUGAUGGAGCAAGGUUUUUGUUUGAGCAGUUGUAGAGUAAAAGUGAGUUGGACUGUCUGGGAGGACGAAACCUAGGCGAUCGAAGUUUAGGAUGAGCAUAUUGUAGUGGAGAUGAACAAGAAGGGUUGGAGAUGAUCAGACUUUUACAUUUGUAGUUAGUGUAGGAAAUUGGGAACAGGUUAAUAGAGGUUCUAUCACUAUGGUAUAGUUUUUGAGAUUUGCAAACAAAAAUGCGGUUUAGCCGAGAAAACGCGGUUGAAUUUGGCUUCGAAAUAGGUGUUUGAGUGUUGAGUUUGUCACAAAUAAUUGUUGAAGCAUUUUGAGAAAUUGAAGUUGUUAACCAGAAAUGGAGAACUAGAAGGACAGGAUGCAGGAGGCAGAUUUUCUUGAAUGCCUGCAUAUCCAAAUGCACUGCACUGUUAGAUUGUUUUCAACUUUUCAAUAGAGUUAUAAGGAAGCAAAGAAGAUCAAGAUAACAGAGAAUCUACUUUGCAAUCUUUUGAAGAAUAUUACUUUGUGAUUUCAAAUUUUCUUGUGGACUUUUGGCAGGAAUAUGUAUGUAGUUUUUCAAUUGCAAUCGCACUUUUCCGUGGCCCAAUGGAAUGCGACACUUCUCCAUCCUUUAUAGAUUCUGCUGCCUGAUUUCCUCCUUUUCCACCCACUACUGUUGGCGAUGGUAUGCUUUUUGAUGGAUCAUCAGAGCUCUAUGUUUGGUCGCUGUUUUGUUUAAUGUUAAAACAUGGCUUUUUACUGAAUACUAUAAUUAAUCACAUACGUUCGAUCAUGGAAAAUUACAAGUCACGAUUUGUAGAUGGUUACAUAUUUGAAGUUUACCUUAAGAUUUUAUAAUAAAAUGGCACUCUGAUGAGUUCUGAGUAGGGUUUUUCUUUUGGCCAUUAUUUUCCUCAAUAUCUAUCCAAUUUUUUAAUCUUUAAUUUUCUGUUUCUCGCAGACAAAUUGUUUGCAUGGGACCGUGAAGCAUUGCUAGUAAUUCCCUUUCUUGAGCCACGACAACUAAAAGCAACAAAGUCAAAAGUACAUAUAUCAUCUUUUGCUUUUUCAUGGACAAAAUUUUAAGUGCAACAAGUAUAUAUAUGUUUGUGCUUAUCUCCUUUCUUAAGAUGCUUGUAUCUUUUUUUUAUGUACUUGAGGAUAGAGAUAAGCAUAUACAUCAGAUUUUAGCUAAGUUUAUCUCCUUUUCAGAACGAUGUCAAGUGUAAUAAUAAACAAAAUCCCUUCAGUUAAGCUACAUGUCCAUUCGUGAAUCCUCAGGUGAGGCAAAAUGACCAUAACAUAGUUUCACACAAGUUGAAAUUACAUUAAAAACAUUGACAUCGCCACAAUUAAACAGAACCCAUAAUUUAAUAGAAAAAAAAACUAAAAACUACACGCAAGCAGAAGCAGCAUACUUCAUCAUAUUCCGUUCCAUUGGGUACAUAGUUUUGCAAUUUUUAAGUUACUUCUGAUCAUUCAGGGUAGCUGGUGGUUCCUCCGCCGGUGCCUUGGGUGGUGGCUUGACAAGAGUAGCCGGGAAAUCAAGCAGCACAAUCUUUCUAGAACUGUUGAAAAUGUUGCUGAAAAUUCUUGAUGUUUAGGGUGGCCAACAAACACAGUAUAAUCUUCCUUCUUGUCGAAUGUCGUCAAGAAGGCAUGGGUAAACCCUUGCCUAAGCAUCUCUGGGCUUUCCAAGUCCUGUCCCCUAAGAGAAAGAAUAAAGCACACCGGCGAGGAUCGAACAUAUGUUCGCGAUCAGUAACAUUGUUUUGUCAAGUGACUUUUAAUGAUCUUAUUUUACAGUUAUAAAGCAUCAUAUAAUUUAUUGUUUUGAUUUUAAAUGGGGUGCCCAUGGGGAAAAAACUGUUUUGCUUUUAGUUUAUGUGUGGGAAUGUUCACUUAAAUGACAGCCUGACAACAUAAACGUAUUAAAUAUCAAAUAUUUAAUAAGAAAAGUAGAGAAUUAAUUACCAUUCAAAGGACUUAACAGCAUCAAUCUCAGCGACCAUUUUCUCCAGAUCUUUCAAAAUCCCCUCCACCACGACAUCUUCCUUGAACUUAACAAUCACCAAAUGCUUGAACUCCCCCAUAAUAAUUUUUUGCUAGUUCUACUGCACUGCCCAUGAAGCUGAAAAAUGAGUCCCCGGAGUCCACAAUUUAUAAUACCCUACAUAACCGUUGUUUGUGUGUCAACCUCCACAGUCCUAUUCCUACCUGUCCACUGUCACACCCAAUGACCCUGUUUGGAGGAUAUCAAUCAGGCUUCAUUCUUGGGACAACAAUAUCUCUUACCCAAUAUUUCUAUGGGGCUAUAGUCCCACUAGUCAGCAACCUAGUCGCUUAACCUCACAGUAUAAUUUUGUCCAGUUCUAUUGUCACAACUUUGCUUUUGCGCAUGAAUAUGAUGAUUGUGUUCCUUUAUGCCCAUUUGUUUGAAAUUACACGACUCUUGUGGGACUUGGUAUGUUGAGGGACUAUUAUCACUUUGCAGAACUACUGUGACUAUUCUAAAAUGUAUAUUAAACAUCAUUAUUUCCUCCUUGUAAGGUAUAUUUUUAUACAUAAUAUAUAUAUGUAUAUAUAUUUCCUAGUUCUAUAUUUCAUUUUUUUUUCUUACUGCUGGACUUUUCUCCAUGUCCUAGCCAUAUGCUCCAGGGUGUAUUAUUGGAACCUAAUAUGCAUGGAUGAUAUGUCACACGCUCAUCUUUAAGGAAUCCUAUAAAGGUGAUAUAAAGUGUAUUUGUCAAUCCAAUGAAUGAUUAAUUCUUAUAUCUAGAUACAAUUUUCGGGAAAAUGAAAAGGAGGGGUAUUGUAAUACGGUGACGUUGUAGUUUUCUCUGCAUUCAAAUCAUGGGCAAUUGUGUGGGUUAUAUAAAAAAUUGUAAGUUAAAAUAGUCGUUGGGCUUAUUGCAAGUGGCUGACAAACACGUCAGCGCUAGGUCCUCGCAACUGACAUUUUGUUGCGUGGCAUGUGGUGCAUGCAUCGGAACGUUGUGCGUGGGCACAAAUUUGUUGCGUCCACGCUCACCGAUGAGACUCACCUUUAUCCCAAGCUCAAUUUAUGGGAAGAAUCUUGGCCGAAACGAAUUUUUUUCCUCUAAGGAUAAUUUUAGCCCAAUUAUUAAAAUGGUUUGGGGGCCGACCAUUCGAGGUUUGGAGAAAUUUUUUUCCAAAUUCCCGGAACACCAUCUCAACAUUUUACCGCUAAUGUACUAGAAACCUCGAAAAAAUCUUAUUAAGAUUAGAGAAGUGUUUUGUGAUAGUUUAGAGGUAAUGAUUCCUUUUCAAUUAUAUUAAAGGCUUUAGUGUAGUACACAUAGGGUGCGUUUGGUACGUGGGACGGGACGGGACGGAACGGGACGAGGCGUUCCGUCCCGCGUUUGGUACGCCAAAAAUGGGUGGAACGGGCUGUUCCACGGGACAGAUUUUGGGUGUUUUUGCGUCCCACCUCCCCCCUGGAACGGGUUUGUUCCACGUCUGUGGAACACACUGUUUUACCAUUUUAAGACAAAUAUACCCCAUGUAUUUUUC